rnacentral:rRNA from 1 species
CCUGAUGACCAUAGCGAGUCGGUACCACCCCUUCCCAUCCCGACCAGGACCGUGAAACGACUCCACGCCGAUGAUAGUGCGGAUUGCCCGUGUGAAAGUAGGUAAUCGUCAGGC